CCCGGGCUGAGCGGGGAGCGAGCGACUCGCUCUGCUCCAGGUGAUGCGCUGCUGGAGGCUGCUGGAGGAGAGCUGUUUUUGAUUGUGGUCCUCGGAUGCCCUUCCUUCCGCUGUGACAUUAGAAGGAACAACUGGGGAGACAAUUGCAAGAUCUUGCCAAUGUGUGAAUCUCGUCAGUAGAGACCGGGGAAACAUCACCGGCAUGCAUUCCUCCUUGGAAACACCGCGAACGUGC